ACCCCGCACAAGCGGUGGAUCAUGUUGUUUAAUUCGACGAUACGCGAAGAACCUUUACCAGGUCUUGACAUCCCCUGCAAAGCUAUGGAGACAUAGUGGAGGUUAUCAGGGAGACAGGUGGUGCAUGGUUGUCGUCAGCUCGUGUCGUGAGAUGUUGGGUUAAGUCCCGCAACGAGCGCAACCCUUAUUGCUAGUUACCAUCAUUAAGUUGGGGACUCUAGCGAGACUGCCAGUGAUAAACCGGAGGAAGGUGGGAUGACGUCAAAUCAUCAUGCCCCUUAUGACCUGGGCUACACACGUGCUACAAUGGCUGGUACAACGAGUUGCGAGUCGGUGACGGCGAGCUAAUCUCUUAAAGCCAAUCUCAGUUCGGAUUGUAGGCUGCAACUCGCCUACAUGAAGUCGGAAUCGCUAGUAAUCGCGGAUCAGCACGCCGCGGUGAAUACGUUCCCGGGCCUU
rnacentral:rRNA from 1 species